CGGGGUUGUAUUUUCCUCACCGAAUGAAAUGAUUGGUGAGGAUGAAUGAAGCCUGGCUCCUAAUGAGUUAUCCCCGUCCUCUUCCCUUGUCAUCUCCGAAUGCUGCCUAUGGAUGUGCAAGCUGCCACCUUAGGAAGGAAAACAUCUGUGGAUGACAACCAGGUCUCCAAGGAAUGGGAGCCGGCUGCGUAGUGGGGAGUUUCAGAGGGAACAAAUUUUCCAACCAUUCCUGCAAAGCUGCUGGAAGAGGAGGUGGGAGGGCACCAGAGAUGAAGUUUGCCUUGAGUAUGUUCUCGGGCCUGACCUUGCUGCUGUGGAUGCUGCUGCUGUUGCUUUGGAUGGUGGCAGAACUUUCUGGUCCUGUUUUGGGGAACUUUGAAAAUGCAGAUAAAUUGCACAGGAAUAAGACAACCAAUAGACUUGUAUCAAGUAGACAUCUCCACUAUAAGAAAACUUUCCCAGGGAAAUUCAUUAGGAUUAAAAACAACCAAGUUUGACUAGCUCAGCAUAGCAUAAAGUCACACUGAAAGAUUCUCUCAAAGACAAAUUAGAGAGCUUAAGACCUGGCAUGGAGUCUUCUGUUGAUAAUGGGGAUUGGUUCUCUUCUUAAAGGAGUAAAUAAAACAAGAUGAGAUGAUAA
rnacentral:lncRNA from 1 species